AGAGGGAUUUGGCUGCAACUUUGGUCACCCCAUUGAUUGUCAGGGUUAUCUGGCUGAUCUGGUGGAUAGGCAGUUGUUCCUCCCUGCUCCAUAUAUGUUCCACUUGACAAUGAGCACUUGGUGGAGAAGGACAACCAUCCCGGAUAGAGGAGAGAACAUUAUUCUUUAGACAAGAGUAUACCAUAGCUGUGUUUAUCUGCUAGAAUCUCCGAAUGAGCCUNUAAGCAGUUCCAGUGGGUCAUUUUAGGCAUUUUUUUCACAUUAGGAAUGCAGCCUUGCACCUUGUUGUACUCUGUGUUUCC
rnacentral:snRNA from 1 species